GAGUUUGAUCCUGGCUCAGAUUGAACGCUGGCGGCAGGCCUAACACAUGCAAGUCGAGCGGAAACGAUGGAAGCUUGCUUCCAGGCGUCGAGCGGCGGACGGGUGAGUAAUGCAUAGGAAUCUGCCCGGUAGUGGGGGAUAACCUGGGGAAGCCCAGGCUAAUACCGCAUACGUCCUACGGGAGAAAGCAGGGGAUCUUCGGACCUUGCGCUAUCGGAUGAGCCUAUGUCGGAUUAGCUGGUUGGUGAGGUAAUGGCUCACCAAGGCGACGAUCCGUAGCUGGUCUGAGAGGAUGAUCAGCCACAUCGGGACUGAGACACGGCCCGAACUCCUACGGGAGGCAGCAGUGGGGAAUAUUGGACAAUGGGCGAAAGCCUGAUCCAGCCAUGCCGCGUGUGUGAAGAAGGCUUUCGGGUUGUAAAGCACUUUCAGUGGGGAAGAAAUCCUCGGGGCCAAUACCCCUCGAGGGAGGACAUCACCCACCAGAAGAAGCACCGGCUAACUCCGUGCCAGCA
rnacentral:rRNA from 1 species